GUGUUAUCAUCAGGAACCACCUCCUCCUCGUCCUCCUUCCCUUCCUCCUUCUCCACAUCCUCCUUGUUCUCCUUCACGUCGGUGUGUAGUAUUGAGAACGUGUUGAUGAAAGAGUAAAGAAGGAAGCCCAAGAGCUGACAGGCUGCUUUAUUUUUUCCUUCCCCCAACUCACACUCACACACCAUACCUACAUUUUUUGACUCUGUUUUCUAGAUUCUUGCCCUGUUAACCAUUCCAUUCAUUCACCCCACCAAGCACCGCCCACCUGGCACCCACCACCCAUUAACAUCACCACCAUCACCGUUAACAAUCGUUCCAAUCAGAUCCUGUUGCUCGUCCGUCAGACAGACUUGAUACCGAUUCGUUGUUUUUGUGGUCCUUUCACUCACCAACCAACCAACCAACCAACCUACCAACCAAUCAACCAACCAACCCUGGCACCAACAAUAACACAUAUCAAGACGAAAACCAAUACCAACAACCAACCACGUGAUAUCAUCCAAUAUCCUUGCCCAAGGCAAUAUUCUCGUGCCAUUGAAUGUGCACGAGUUUGUGCGUGUGUGCGUACGUUUGCCACUGAAAAAAGAAGCAAAAGAAGAAGAAGAAAAAAAAGUCCCGGAAUUAGUGUGCAUUUUGUCGUUUGUGAUUUCCGGAGGGCGUGGAAAUUGGCUGUGACACGAAACGCUUGCUCGCCCUAAAUGAUUGGCCGUUUAUGAUUGAUGGCCGUGUGCUUCUUGUGAUUUGUGGAACAUCCAGGUACGCGACGACACCCGUAGGUUCUUGCUCCAAUGUCAUUGGUGGCCGAUUGCUUUCACGCUCCACCUUCUAAGACCCUCGUGGCCAAACCAAUUCCCUUGUUCUUUGGUCUUUCUUCCCUGAUCCUCCCUCUCCACUCACCCUCUUCUCUCACCCGCCUCUCGACCGCCUACACCUAUUCUUUCUGCUAACUGGUCCCAGAGCUUGCCAUUCCCAUUGUCAGUCUCAGGUCGGAUCCUCAGAUCCUCCCAUCCUAUUUAUCCCUCGUGUACCACAUCUACGGUAGUUGUGCCAACCUUGCCAACCUUGCCAACCCGCCUACCCACUCAUUUUCCCCGACUAACCAUAUUGAAUCCUCUUCGUCCCAAUGUUGACCAUGGCCACCCCCACACUGGAGAAACAGAUGGUCACACCCAACUCGCCUGCUCAACAACCUUUGCAGAGCAUGGCCACUCCCAGUAGUGCCAUGUCCACUAACUCCGACCCCGGAAUCAGCGGCUCCGCGCUAACGGUCCGACUCAUCAUGCAAGGAAAGGAGGUUGGCAGUAUCAUUGGCAAGAAAGGGGAGAUCGUCAAAAGGUUCAGAGAUGAGAGCGGGGCUAAAAUCAAUAUCAGUGAUGGGUCAUGCCCGGAGAGAAUCGUCACAGUUACUGGAGCUACAGAUGCUAUUUACAAAGCCUUCACUCUCAUUUGUAACAAAUUUGAAGAGGAUCUUGCCAACUUAGUGUCGCCCAACACAGUUCCUCGGCCUCCAAUAACUUUCCGAUUGAUUGUCCCAGCGUCACAAUGCGGUUCCCUGAUUGGCAAGGGCGGGUCGAAAAUCAAGGAGAUUCGCGAGGUCACUGGUGCUUCUAUACAGGUGGCAAGUGAGAUGCUGCCAAAUUCAACCGAGCGCGCAGUCACCAUUAGUGGAAAUAGCGAGGCCAUCACACAAUGCGUCUACCACAUUUGCCUGGUCAUGUCAGAAUCCCCUCCAAAGGGCGCCACAGUCCCUUGCCAGCCCUCUUCUUCAUCCUCUUCCUCUGGUCCCCCGUCCCCUUUGCCCACACAUUCCAGUUAUUUAACUCCGGCUGACUCGCAAGAGCACCUCCCCCCGUCGCCGCCCCUUACUCAAUCACCUCAUCCACCGUAUAUGAUUCUGACAGACACUUCCUCGGAACAGGCCUCUAGUUUCAAGAGUUGUCUCGCAUUUGGUUCAGAUGAUUCCAUGUCCAUAUCAUCCACGGGUGGUAGCUAUCCAGGAAAUGGCGUGGGUAUAGGUGGUGCCAAUGCUGGGACCACCUAUACUUAUCACAAGCACAACAUUCCCAAAGUAACUGGAACAAACAGCAGUGCUUAUCAUGCCAUCUUGACCAAUAAUAAUAACAAUGUGAAAAGCAACAUGCACUCAAGUCAAUCAGGGUGCGGUCUAGGCUAUGGUAGUCAACCUAUGGCCCAAAUGCUGAAAUCGCAACAAAUGGAGAAAUUUCAGUAUUUUCACCCUCAAUCGCAGUGUCAUGGUGCAAAUCCUCAGACUCUGCCUCCAUCUAGUUUGUUCUCUAGCCCCGUUCAGUCCCUACAGGACUCGCCUAUGGUGUACAUUCCUUCAGACCCAUACCUCAUUUGGGGCAAUGGUAUGGUCAGUCCUACUUGUAGUCAGACCCAAUAUCCGCCCAUGGCCUCUGCCUCCACCUCUCUCCCGCCCUCAUCAUGCUCAUCUGGUUUCUUGGGAUCCAAUCCCUCAUUGGUGGAUCAGGGGGGUAAUAUGCUGUGUUACAUGAAGGGAAUGGUACCCAUAUCCUACCACCAAACCACAGGCAUGUUGCAACCUACACCCAACCAAACCUCUAUGAUGCCACAAUCGCCCAACCUAUACUUGCCCUCAAGUCCACCGGAUCGUCCAUUGGGGACGGGCACAGCCUUCUCUGCCACAGCCCCAGCCGCCGUUUACAUUCCAGGUCAGCAAGCUACCAAUGGUCUGGUAUCUGGAACGAUGUCGGCCCCCGUCCAUGGUGUUCCUGUUGAUACUGGCAAACUUGGACCUAUUCCCCUGGCUGGUCUGUCCAAUUUGAAUGGCUUAGCCGCCGCUGCGGCCGGAUUUGGAAACUCUGGAGCGCUUAAUCCAGCGGCCUUGGCUGCCUUGGCCGCGUCUGGCCACAAUAGACCACAAUCUUCGCAACAGACCCAUGAAAUGACAGUUCCAAACGAACUCAUUGGAUGUAUCAUCGGCAAGGGUGGAUCCAAAAUCGCAGAAAUAAGGCAACUCAGUGGAGCAAUGAUUCGGAUUUCCAAUUGCGAAGAACGUGAACCUGGUAGUAACACCGAUCGCACCAUUACAAUGAGUGGUAACGCUGAGUCGGUUGCUUUAGCGCAGUACCUGAUCAACAUGAGCAUGGAACUCCAUAAAGCUAACCUCGAAGCACAGACCCAAGCUGCUGCUCUGCUCAGCUGUCAGAGUCCCUAUGGCGCCGCCAACCCCCCGAACAACCCCACUGCUGCAGCAGUGGCGGCUGCUCAAGCGAAUGCUGCCAAUAUGGCGGCUGCUCAACAGGUGUUACUCCUCCAGCAGCAGCAGCAGCAACAGCAUCAAGCUGAGCAGCAGCACCAACACCUAAAGUCCUUUCUGAUCCCUUGCUCCACGGGCACACAACCCUCACUGGCAUACUUUCUUAAAGCACCCUUAACCAGCUCAACAGGGACAAUGGGUGACAAUGUUCAACCUACAACCAUGAGCUCCCUCCAGGUCCCUUCUGCCUUUGCCCCUGGCACACCCACGACCUCAACCACUCCAGCUCUUGCUGGGCCAGUCAUGGCAGCGGGACACCACCAACCCAACCAUGCUGUGGCCUCCCCUAUCUUGUACCAUGUGACCCCUAAGCUCAAGGCAGCAGCCGGUGGGCUGGUAACUUUGACAUCAAACUCAGUUGCCAGCAGGGCCAAUGACCAUAAGUUUUCGCCAUAUUAAGUACUUUGCCCGUUCCUCUCCCCAGCCAUGCAUACCUACGGCUCUCCCUUUCCCUCUAAUCCCUACUACCAGACCCUCACAAUUCAGUCCUCAAAACCUUCACGAUCCCAAACAUUCUGGCCAAGGAUAUCCAUGGAAACGGCUGCAAUGGGUGGAAUGGCGGGUUUCCAAUACAUCACCCCUAACCACAUUAUCAAGACUCCUCUUCAUUGAAUACUUAAAGUGAUCCAAGACCCUUUUCUUACUUCUAUCAGGAACCACCCCUGGGCUCCCUCAUGUUUAGAUAGAUGAAAUCUUAAGACAUUCCCAAUUGUUGUAGUUGUUUUGCUUUUGGAAUUUUUCUGAUUCCCCAUUCAUCCCAAGACAUCCGUGUGUCAAUGAAUGUGUUCGUUACCAUUAUCCAAAUGUUUAGGUUGUUUUUCAUCUACCCCUCUCCAGAAAGCUCCAGCCGAUGGAUGCUUCUCUCAAGCGCAGGCAAACAAGACAAUAAGUGUGGGACAUAAAUGGCCCAUCGAGUGGAAGAUUCGCAUUAUCACUCGAAGAUGGGGGAACAUGAAUCUCAAAGCCAUGUAAAUAGCUGACUGAAUGAAUGAGACCGACUCGAAUGAGAGAGUAUUGGAUACUGAAGUAAAGCAUAUCAUCUCAAUGUCCGUGACCACCACCGAUCUCUUGCCCAUCCCUAAUAACACCCAUCAGGUGGCCACGUCCCACCCAUUCAAACCAAACCUACGAUGCUCUAGCCAAAAUACGAUCUUGCCCGCUUCAAGUACUUCAUACACAUACAAUCAAAAGCAUAGAUAGAUUGAUAGCUAGAAGGAUAGGACACUGAUUAUUGAUGUAUAACAAUAAUGCAAAACUUACUUACUUUGUCGUUAAUGUCGCACCAUAUUAUCAGCAUAUCCAGCUUUUAAUUAGCCUAUCCUUAUCACUUACAAAAUAUCAUAUCUCUGUUGUGAACAUAUCAUUUUUGCGUUCUCAGUCCAUGCUUCCAGCCCUGGAAAGCCAAAUGGAUUUCACAAGAAUAUCAAAAUCUCAUAUCAAGAUCACACAUAUCAAAUUAGCUGAAUAGCUCAGAGACGAGUUCAUAAAGUAAACGUGCUUGGGUGCCCGUCGGAAUGUCUUUGUCAGCGGAACAAACUAAUUGGCACGUACUCAACCUCUCAUUCUGUAUCUUUCUCUUGCACAUCUGGUGAUUCUUCUUGUAGCAAUGAUCGCCGUCAUAUUUGUAAUCAAAAGUGUCACAUUUCUAGUUGCAUAGCAAGAAAUCCGCACAUUCAGAGUUAUUUCACCAUCAACCGAGUGCCAACGGUAAUAGUACUGGUAUUGCUCCCCUUCAUCACGGUAUACUUCAUAAACAUCUCCAGUAAUAAUGAUGCCGAUGAUGAAUCAUUCAUACAGUAUUUUUAAGAUCCGCUUUUUCACGCGUGAAAGUGCCAAACGUUACUGCAGUCAAUCAGUACUGAUUAUGAGAACAAGAGGGUUUGCAGGUUUUGGCAUUAAUUGGCCUCUGUCUUACAAUUUUCGCUUUUGUUCACUCUCUUGAAUUCCGGAAAAAGAUAAAACUUAGUACUGAACCGUACUUUAUACUCGGAAUCCUGUUUCUAUCACAUCUUUGAUGAGAUUUUCACUCUUUGCUUCACCAAAUAUCACUACUACUAUUACUCCAAUUAUCAUUAACGUAACUACAGCUACUACCACUACAACUAUUGUAACUAAUACCAUUCGACAAUAUGUAUGUAUUCUUUUUGACAUGGAAAAGACUCUUUUCGGGCUCUUCCUCUAUUAUCAAUAUAUACUUCUAUGCUACACAUGAAUAUUGAAAAUAGUAAUAAUAAAUCUAUAUCAAAGCA